rnacentral:rRNA from 1 species
CAGUCGCCGCGGUAAUCCGAAGGGGGCUAGCGUUGCUCGGAAUUACUGGGCGUAAAGGGAGCAUAGGCGGACAUUUAAGUCAGGGGUGAAAUCCUAGAGCUCAACUCUGGAACUGCCUUUGAUACUGGGUGUCUUGAGUGUGAUAGAGGUAUGUGGAACUCCGAGCGUAGAGGUGAAAUUCGUAGAUAUUCGGAAGAGCACCAGUGGCGAAGGCGACAUACUGGAUCAUUACUGACGCUGAGGCUCGAAAGCGUGGGGAGCAAACAGGAUUAGAUACCCGCGUAGUCCCUGUCUCUUAUAC